GUGCCAGCCGCCGCGGUAAUACGUAGGGUGCAAGCGUUGUCCGGAUUUAUUGGGCGUAAAGAGCUCGUAGGCGGCUUGGCAAGUCGGGUGUGAAAACUCCAGGCUCAACCUGGAGAUGCCACCCGAGACUGCUAUGGCUAGAGUCUGGUAGGGGAGCACGGAAUUCCUGGUGUAGCGGUGAAAUGCGCAGAUAUCAGGAGGAACACCGGUGGCGAAGGCGGUGCUCUGGGCCAGUACUGACGCUGAGGAGCGAAAGCGUGGGGAGCAAACAGGAUUAGAAACCCUUGUAGUCC
rnacentral:rRNA from 1 species